rnacentral:rRNA from 1 species
UACAGAGGGUGCGAGCGUUAAUCGGAAUUACUGGGCGUAAAGCGCGCGUAGGCGGCUUUUCAAGUCGAUUGUGAAAUCCCCGGGCUUAACCUGGGAACUGCCUUUGUGACUGCAUAGCUAGAGUACGGUAGAGGGGGAUGGAAUUCCGCGUGUAGCAGUGAAAUGCGUAGAUAUGCGGAGGAACACCGAUGGCGAAGGCAAUCCCCUGGACCUGUACUGACGCUCAUGCACGAAAGCGUGGGGAGCAAACAGG